AAGACCAUAAAUAUUUCUUUCCUUUUAUUAAUAUUCCUUUCCUUUCAUAUCUAUCAAUUAAUCUUGUAUCCAGAAAAUCCCAAGUUCAACCACAAGUUACAAUACAGUGUAAGAUUCAAAAUCUUCUACCUCCAAAAUUGAUGUCGUCUCUGUUGCUCCUUUUUUCUUGAAUCCACCUAUGUUCAAUGACGACACAGAGAAAUUACAGGGUGAAAUCAAAACACGAAGAUGGAACCUCCCAACAUAGUCUCUUCUGUCUUAAGCGAUCGCUACCACACCCACCAUGUUUGGAUUCCGUCAAUAAUUCCACCGCCGGAGCCACCGGACAGGAUUUCUACAUCACUAUCACCACCAAUCAUUCACUGUGCUGCUAUUGAGAAGAGUACACAAGUGGAGUUCACCUCUUGCACAACAAUAAUUGAUUUCCACUUGAUUCACAAUUUUAAGGUUACCACUUAUGUGAUUAAUUCUUGUGCUUUUCUUCCAUUAUCUGCCAUUUUCAAUUUAGCUGUUAGUGAUAUUGUGACUAUCACCCUUAGUAUCGCAACAAUCCAAUGUCAUGAUAGAUAUUCAUUUACAAUGCUUUUAACUGUCCUCCAACUGUUUGAUGAAAUGCCAAAGUGUCUUGUAGCUGUUUGCAAUGCUAUCGGUAGCAGGCUUAAUUUUCAGGACUUCAUUGUGGAGGAAUGUGAUGGUCAUUGUCUAGAAAAUUGCACAACUAUAUUGGGUCAUACUACACAAAUAGUUGUUAAUUUGUCUAACCCCACACUCAAACACCAUGAAGAUAAAGUUUUCUGCUAUCCACAAGACCUCAAAACCCACCCAUUGUGGCUAUGAGAAACAUACUAUGUUUUAGUAGCCUUGAUGAUAAAUAACCAUACACAUGUGCAAAUACAAAAUACUAAACCCACCUUUAAUUUAACAAGGCACCUUCGAAGGUUUGUGUUUGAUGAAGAUUGAGAAAGAUUGCAAAAAAUAUAGGCUCAUGGUGCAUUGAUGAUAGUGUAUAUAAGAGGUUGCUUUGUGUCAAGGGUGCUAGGACUGGUUGCAUUUUUUUUAGUGCUGAUUUUAUUGGUGUUCAAGUGGCUUGGGCCUUAUUGUUAUUGCUUUGGUUGUAUCCUAUUGUGCUUAUUAGUACAUGUGGUUGUAUAGUUUUUUCCUUCAAAGUACUUCUGUUCAACUUUAUUUUUCUAUUGAUUAUGUAAUUUUGUUAGACUUGUUGGUUCCAACAAUAAGGAUUGGUGCAUCACGUUUUUUCCCAGAACCAUGAAUAAUAAUUCUCUAGGUGCAUUGAUGACCACAUAUUUCAAUAAGAAUGAUGCAAUGUUUAUCAAAGUAGAAGUUUAUUUUCUCCAUUAUUAUUAAUUUUAAUCUGUCAGUACUAUUUACUA